rfam:Alligator mississippiensis ScZkoYb_164, whole genome shotgun sequence.
GGACUCUGGUUCUCCUUCAAGUCCUAUAAAUCUUUUGCCUUUUACUAAGAAUGUCUGUGGAGAGAAGCAGUUGUGAGUCUGACCCCAAUUCUUGAGGCCCUGCUGCAAUGGGGCU